ACAGCAGCCGCCGCGGGAAUACAGAGGGUGCAAGCGUUAAUCGGAAUUACUGGGCGUAAAGCGCGCGUAGGUGGUUCGCCAAGUUGGAUGUGAAAUCCCCGGGCUCAACCUGGGAACUGCAUCCAAAACUGGCGAGCUAGAGUAUGGUAGAGGGUGGUGGAAUUUCCUGUGUAGCGGUGAAAUGCGUAGAUAUAGGAAGGAACAUCAGUGGCGAAGGCGACCACCUGGACUGAUACUGACACUGAGGUGCGAAAGCGUGGGGAGCAAACAGGAUUAGAUACCCGUGUAGUCCCUGUCUCUUAUAC
rnacentral:rRNA from 1 species